AUUAUUCAGUGUUUUAACAAUGCCAGAAGGGCUAUGAGUCAGUCUUUGUAUAGGACACACACACAGGUAUUUUAGGUUAGAACAAUGGGCAUUAAUAAUACACUGUGUGCCAAGGAGAGACAGAUUUACCUCGGCCUGGUUAGAAAGCGCCAUCUUAUGCUGAUACUCUCUGAUUAUACAAUGCUAAAAAAAACUGCAUUUACUUUUUGUCCUCAGUCUUCCUACAUGAGAUAGCUAAUGCAUGUAGAUUGGCCCAGUGUUGGCUAGUCUGAUUCAGGGACUGACAUUAAUGUUUCAGAAGGAUGGUGGAGGAUGUUUGGAAACAAGAUGCUUUUCAGAGCCUUGUCCCAGAAAACGGCACGGACGCAUGAGCAUGGAGAGAUAGACGAACAACAGCAGGUGUGUUAGAGGACUUUUUUGUGAUCCUGCGCUAUUGUAAUAUUGAACAAUGAACAAAAAGCCUGUGUGUGUUUGUGUAUGUGAAAAUGCUGUUUAAACCCAUUUAUCUUGCAGACAGACUGAGCACUAAAGGUGUAUAAAUUUAAUUUCUUUAUUUUGAAUUUCACCCCUAGCAAUUCAGUAAAUUGCAUCUUGAAAUGGGAGUAAAACUCAAUGAGAUUUCACAUGAAUCGGAUAUAUUACUCGCAAAGCUGUCCCUCCUGUUGCUAUGCUGUGUAGUUCUGUGUCUCUCUCUAGCUCUAUUCCAGAACCUAGUGAGCUGCCUAUGGAGGAGCGGUUUUAAGGCAUCAGAGAAAGAAGUCACACAGGUUUGGAAUAGCAUGUGGCAAUCCGGUCGCAACCCGACCAACCCGUGGACGUCUCCCCUCAACCUCUGCGUCGUUUGGCCCAAAAGCCCCUAUUAAUCAUAGUCUAAUUGAAUUCCAGCAAACACAUAAAACUCUGAUUGGGUUUAGUUAUUUCAUUUUGCAAACACAUGUCUCUGGUGAACCGUGUAAAGUGAUAUGCAGUGGUGAGCCAUGUCAUCUGGAACUGUCUCGCUGCUCUGGCUGAUGUUUAAUAAGCAAAAACAUGUGUUGUCCCCAAUUUGACUGCCAUAGCUGGCCUGAUGUCCGGGGAGAGCCAUACUUCUGGAUUGAGCCACGUCUGUUCCUAUCUGUGAUUAAUGCUCUGUGAUUUUAUUUUGUGAAGGAUAGCUCUUGUGGUUGCUCGUUUCGUCUCUGUGACCUGCUAAACUUUGGUCUGGAAUUGCGUGGAUGGCAGCGGGACAACUAUGAGAAUAUUUCCGUCAGAGCCGACCAAUACUGGAAUGCCAGAAUAAUUAUCAGCAGCUGUCCACAUCAAACUUCAGAGCCUCGGGAGGGACCCCGCUCUUCUCAAAUGGACAUGAGUGACAGGGCUCAUACCCUCUGUGCUGGACUGGAUGAAGAGCGAAGAGGAAACAGGCAAGGAAAACGAGGGAGACAGAAGGAAAGAAAGAGAUCCAUAUGUCUCUGUUGUCAGUCACUGCUUAUUAUCCACGGAUAGCUGCAGAAAGUUUUAUGUUUGUGUGUGUGUGUAGAUUCAAAGCUCCACUCUGUUAUUAGAACCUACGCUCUGCUGAGGAAAGAAAAGCCCUACUGUGAGCUUAAAAGAUGUUGUCUCAUUUCAUCAUUUAUUACGCAUUUAAAGUGGUUUUGAAAUAGCUGAGGCCAUUGCGGUCUGCAACCCUAAUAGAAGCUCUUCUCUCCAAUUAAUAUAUCCAGACUUGUGAUCCUACCAAAGAAACACAGAUCCAAAGUACAAAGGACUUGUCGACGGUUAACAGUUGCUGUGUUACCGCACAUAGAUCAAAUUGAAGUUUUCCCCUGUUUCUCCUUUUUAAAGGAGCAGCUGUCGCCAUCAAUGUUCCGUCGCUGCCUAACCAAACUUCCCAACAAGAGAGAUUAGCGGUGUAUGACACUGAUUCUGCAGAUGGUAUGAAUACGCACACUUGGUUGUCGUGCUUUCGUUACGAAACCCAUAUGAAACUUGUCUCAGGCUUAUAAAUGAUGUUGCAUGUAUGAUGGCCAGCUGCAACAUUGCUACAUGAACACCAACAUUUCAUCUGAACAACAACAUGUGCAUUCGCUGUAGAUGACGCUGUUGUUUUGAAUAAAUUAUGUUUUUUUUUUUGUUUUUUUUUUGCAGCAUGAGCCCAUUCCUUCUUUUCCCUUUUCAAUAACCGGGACAGAGUCAAUAAUAAUAAGAAUAAUAACAAUAAUAAUAAUAAAUUAUUAUUAUUCCUUAUUUACUCAUCUGAACAGGUCAGUAGAUUUUUUUUGUUAAUAGCUUAGACAUACUAUUUUAUUUCCUUAUAAAGAUAUCUUUAUAUUUGAAAGGGUAGCAUUGUCUGAAUUGGAACACUUAUGCAUGAAAGUAUUCUCUCUAUCUCUAUAUAUUUAAAAUACAUGUCAUGUGUUGAUCCUAGCUUUAUCACUUUUUGCAUUUAUCACAUCUAACUUUAUC
ensembl:lncRNA